GGGCCGCUCCGGGGCGCGCAGGGCGGCGAAGCGGGGCGGCCGCGGGCAGCCCGGCGGCGGCGCGGCGGGGCCGGGGCGGGGCGGGCCCCGCUGGCGGCGGGACUUGGCGCGGCGGUUCUGGAACCACACCUGGGGAGAGAGGGCGGCGGUGAGCGCGGCGGGGCGGCCCCGGCGCGGCGGCGGGCGCGGCACGGCCGGCGCCCCUCACCUGGAUGCGGGACUCGGGGAUCUGCGUGGCGUCGGCCAGUUUCUCCCGCAGAUGCAAGUUAAAUGCACCCGGAGAGCCAGGGCAGAGGCAAACAUUGGUGUCAUCACCUUUUCCACCACUUGCUAAUGCCUUCACACAUCACACUGGCGCGUCCCGUGUGCUUCUGCCAAAACUGAUUCCCAGACGGAGAGGUCUUGUGCUGAAACGCUGCCUGCACACCCCGACAACAUCAAGGCACUUAAAAUGGCAAAAAAAGGGGAUUUGAUGUCUUCCCUCAAGAAGCAGAAGCUGUGACGGAAGUCCAGAAGUGGCUUGCUUUUUGAAAUUAAGAUGGCAAAAACUGAGAGAGCUGUCUCUAAGGGAAAAGCAGACUGCCCUGUGUUGAUAUGAAAAAUUACAGGCCGCUUCAGAAGCUGUUUCCAUUGAUCUUCACUCUGUUCGUCAGGAGAGAAACUUCUCGUGCUUUUGUCUGUGCUGGGAGUGUCUCAGCACUGAGGCUUCUGUGCCAAGAGGACUCACAAUACAAAAUCUGCCUGUACCUGCAAUAAAACAGAUUUAAGCUUCAUUUGGAGAACAUGCUCUCACAUCACUGCUGCCAGCUCUGAGCAUCCAGCAAGGCUUGUGUCUCAUGGUUAUUGAGAAAAGGAUCCAAAUGUGAAGCAAGUUUUGCUCCAGUGGUUCAAAACCAGAAGACAAUACACAGAACCAGAACUGUCCUGGUAUGGUUGGAUGCCUGUUACAACAUGAACACAAACCCAUGACAUUUCUCUGCCCUUGGCUGCCCUGGUGCUAUUAAAAUCCACCCAGUUUUUCCUCUCUGAGUGGCAAUGCCUGGAGAAUCCUUCAUCUGCCUUCCCUGUGCUUCCCUGCCGCUUCUCAGGCAUGUGCCAAGAUGGGACAACUGCAAUCCAAGAUGGAGAGUGACUCUGGGCUGGGGUGAUCUCAGCAGAUCUCUAAUGCCAUCUUAGCCACCCUCCACAUCUUUACAACACCACGUUUUUCCUCUUUUGCAGUCACAUCUUUGCAGCUGGGAUACCUCUUACCUAAGGUGUUUGAGGUAAGAGAAGGUUUAAAGGAAUUCUGAGAGUUUGCUGCAUCUGAGUGAUCAAAAAAGAGUGCAGCAGCGUCAUACUUUAGGUUUCUAUUUGCAGUUCCACUGCUGCUGGCCUCUUUUGUGACUCACUGGCAAUGCCUGAAAUAUGGCUGUAGACAAAAUAUUUAUGACAGUGGCUGGAAAUUGCAAAGCUGAGCAGGAUAUCACAUCUAUCACAGCACUACCUGGGUGUUUUGCAUCGUGUGUGUCUUGGUCAGUGUCAGCAUAGCAGUGUUCAUGGUUUUCUGGCAUUUCAAAAACAUUGUAUUUCUCUCAAGUUUUGCCAGGCUAAGGGCAGAAGUGAGAAGAUAAUGAGUUUCCUUUGAUUAAUCUCACUUGGUUGAGCUCUCCUUCCUCUGUGUUUUGUAUUUUUAUCAACUACUACAGCAAGAGUCCUGGCAUGUACAAAGCAGUUCAGGAUAAAUGGGGAACCUGCUGCCACUAAAAAUCCUAACAGACCAAGGACUGAUCCUACCUGCCCACAGAGCUUGAUUUUGCAUCUCUUCAGGCAAAUGGUGAUCUUUCCUCUGGCUGCAUGGAGCAGACUCCUGCUUUAGGGACCCAAGAGCCACACAGGUGCCCAAGCAAGCAAACCCUCCCUGCAUGUUGCACUCUUUCCUCAUCUACUCGAUCUGAUUUCCUCUAUUCCAAACAAGUCUCUGCAUUUCAGAUUUCCACAGCAGCAAGCUGCCACUAACAGUGUAUGACCAAGGCUGGGCUGUCCAAACACACCCACCAAAUGCCACUGUAACUUGCCUGUGACCCCAUAGCUGAAGAGCAGGUGCAUGGCACACUGGCCAAGACACACAGGGCUGUUCCUAGAAGAUGCCUGUUCCAGAGCUGGAUUGGUGCCUGCUUCCUGCUCUCCAGGCUUUAUGUAAUCCUGAAGCAGUGCAGCUUCACCAGGUUCCUUUGUCUAACCAAAGUGCAAAAGCUGUUUUCAGGUGGGAAUUUUACUUAGGACUAUGUAAAAUGUGUAGGUACAAAGUGCUGCAAAAGACCAGGUCAUUCAUUCCAGGUCUGAGUGAAUUCUUUCCCUGUCCACACUCCCCAGGGCCACUUCUCAAACUCUGGCCCAUGUUUUCAGCAGCUGGAGAAACAUCUACCACAUCACACAAAAGUAAAGACUUAUUCACUUUUUUUUUUUUUUCCCCACAACAAAAGGAGAGCCACUCCUGUGAAAUCAUCUCCAGACCCUGUGGGUCCAGGUUUCUGCUUUUCUCCAUGCAGGCAUGUAAAAAUCAUAAAUUGUGAAAAAAGGGGUGAUGAAGUGCUCUUUGGAGCACUUGCAAAAUAGCCAUGGUUUAGGUAAUGGCUUUUUUUUUUUUCCUCUGGGUGGAGUUUGAGCCAUUUGGGAGUUGAUCAUUGAACAUUGAUAUGAACAGGAAGGGAAGCAUAACAUAAAGAGGACAGCAACAACCCUGAGGCUGGGAGACUUGUGUGGCUGCUGGUGUCAUGUGCUGAAGCAGAAAUUCCUUUGACAUUUUGGAAGGGGAAGGCAGUGCUGGCCAGUCCUGGCUGCUGCGCUGGGUACGUGCUGAUUCAUGUGGCUCCGAGGAUAAUGCAUUUUGCAGCAGAGAGGAGGCUUGUGUCUCUGCAGUUUCCAGGAGGAAUUGUGCCAUCACACCCCACAAACAGUAAACAGUGUCAAGUUGUGAAAGGGUUUGUGCCAGUAAGCCUCACCUGUGAUGUUUUUGGCAGGCCAUCUAACCAAUACCCAGGGAAGGCUCACAGACUGGUGAUGCACUGUCUCCUCGUAUUUUGCAGUCUCUGCUGGUGAUGGUAGGCUAGAUAUCCCUGGCUUGGCCCCCUAGAGGGACUUCUUGCCAGGAUAGUCAGUCCCUGUAGGAUGAAACAGAAGUCAGGCAAAGAGUAAGAUAUUGACAUUUCCCCAUGAGGUGAUGUAGGAUCCCAGAAACAACCACACCUGAAAACCAAACAGUCCUCAGUCACAGACUCAGAGAGGAGGUGCAGUGCAUGUAAAGCUGUGAAAGUACCCCAGGAAACCCAGGCCAUUCACAUGGAGUAUGUCCAGCUAUAGAGCAGUAGAGAUACUCAGACACACACAAGCACCAUGUGGAUUUAGACAUUUUGGAGGCUAGACUUGAGUCCUGGAUAAGCUUCAGCUUUGUUUCAACUAACUCAGCUUUGUUAUUUUCUUAAUAGUGAGUACAGUGCAGAGCUCUCUCCCAAAAGCUCUGGAAGCUGCUGGUCCAGUUCAGAAAGGGGGCUGGGUGUGUGAUGCCCCUCUCCAAUGAUUUUUACUGCACAGUAGCUUUAGGCCAGGUUCCAGCAGCAUCCUACUGGCACCAGUGAUAACAGUGUAAAAGCAUUUGGCCUCUUUUGGUUUGGACAGUCAUCCAUGAGGCACUAAGAGAGCUACCUACAGUGAGAUAUUACAGCUGUUGGUCAUGCUCACCCGAGCCAGAUUUGAUUGCUGAUCCUGAGAGGAGAGAUUCCCCCCUGUCAUUCUUCUCCAGAGGUUUCUGCAGUUCCUGGACAAAAAUAUUCAAGGGCAUUUCUAAUGGACACAGAAAAAACAAGCAAAUGCAUCCCCAGGGUUUUACUUCUGUACUGGUAUUGCAUUGCUUCCUGUGACCCUCUCUCCUCCCAGCAAUGCCUAGAUUUCAGGUUGCAUAGGCUGGGUGGAAUAUAUUUUAGAACAAGACUCUAUUUAGCCGUGAUGUCAACUGCAGCCAACUAUAAAAAGCUCAGUAAUGCUCUUUGAAAGUGUAACAGCUGCUGCUCUACACAGUCCCUGGUGUAUCACAAGUCCGCCCUACUUCAUGUUCACACAACCAAAAUAAAAUACAAUAGCAAUCAUUAAAUAGUUCAAGGCAUUUGGGACAUGAUCUCCCCAGAAACCAAGAGGAAUUCAAGGUUAGACAAACUGAGUAAUUUUGCACGGUUUGUUAACAGAAAGGUAAGUUUACCUGGAUUUGCAAAAUUGACUUUUACCUCCCCAUUGACUACCUGCUAUCAGUGAUCCCUACACAGUGACAAGAGAGCAGCAAACCUUCCUUUGGGCAGCUCUGCUGGGUGUUGUUCACACACACAAAUUGAGCUCUUGCAUGGGGUAAGUCCAUCAAUAUGUUACCCAACAUAAAAAACCCAUUUUUGUCCUUAACUGGAUUUGGUCAUCUAUAUUAAAAAAAAAUAAACACUGAUCAGUGAUCAAAAUUUCCCAUAAAAGCAGGAAAGGAAACAGUUGAAUGAAAUGUUAUUUAGUCAUCUAGAUGAACAGACAGAAGUGAAUGACUGUGGAAUUGUGCUCACAGUACUGGAGAGGUGGUUUUGGCUGGGUCUCUGUUAAGGACAACCUUGAAAUGCUGGAUGUUGUAGUAAAGUUUGUUUUUUUGUUUUUUGGUUUGGUUUUUUUUUUCAAAUAAACAUUCGGGAGUGAUCCCUGCAUUUCACUCUGUGGACUUGCUUCUGUUGAGGACUUUGAAAAAUCUUCCAGGCAUAUGUCUGCUUUACUAAAAAAUGGGAAGUGUUGAGCGACCUGCCCACGAUGAUGUGAAAGUCAGUGAGUGGCAGAGCAAAAAGGUGAGCCUGGCUGUGCUUUCCCCCUUCCCUGUUGCUGCUGGCAUUACCAGUGGCACAUCCAAUUCCAUUUCCUGAAACCAACUGAGACAGCUCAAACGAUAUGAGCCCAGGAAGCAACAGCUGCAUAAAAAAGAAGGAAAGUUGCAGAAGCAAAUCUCACGAGUGCCCAGUUUGCUGUAGCGGUUGCUCGAAGUCCUGCUGGGCUGAGCUGUGCCUUGGCAGGGCCUGUAGUGAGGACCAUCCUGCCUUGCAGAGCCUCCAGCUCCUUUCUGCAUCCUUGGCAGGACUAAGCAGUGCAAAGUGGCUGCAAUGUUGCAGGCAGGGUGGUUUGGUUUGUAGUGCAGAUAGGCCUUUGUAGUGUGGGUGGGGAGCAGGCUGUUCCAAGGGACGUGCCAACUCCUGUGACACGGUUUGGAGCAGCGUGAGCUCACCGGUCUGCAGGAAACGGUCGGCUGCCAGACACAGCUGUUCCCAGAGGUGACAGGACAGUCAGGCAACGUGAGCAAUGGUUUGGCACCAGCCAAAGCCAUUGGGAUGGAAACACGCACGCCAUGGGACGGGCUUGGCGUGUCUCUGAGCGCUGGCUGCACCCAGUUCCCAACAAGGGAUGUUUGAUCCAUGAGGGAAUCAGAGGCACCCAGAAACGAAAGCAAGCAGAGCAGUCUCCAGGCAGACAAAAAGCUUGGGAGGGAGCCAGGGAGCAGCCCUGGUGCCUGUCCUUCCCUGACUCCCUGAGGGCUCUCUGGAAACCCCCUCGGCCUCCCCCACCUUUGCCAGGGCUCCUGGCUGUUCACAGUGUGAGCAGGAAAAGGAGGGGAGGUGGUUUCUUCUACCCACAGAUACACAUGCAAACACACAGAGUAUGCUUGUUUAAAUAAAGUGACGCUGAAGAAAGGUGACUUGUGUCAACACACAGAGACUCAUUUACAUGCUACAGUGUGUAGCAAUAUGGUGUCAGGUGAGAGCUGGCACAUUUUUCAUGUCCAGCCAUGUACACAUAAUGGUAUCACAGGGGGAGACCAGUUGCUGUGGAAUUAAAGGUUGUGUUUUCUUUAACAGCACCUAGGAAACAGGAUACUGGAAAUCCUUGAACAUUCAAUAACUUCCCAGCCAGUACCUCUAACAGUCUGCAGAUUAUUUAAGAUUUUACUAUAUCCCUUGACAACUAAGAGCUCAGUUCUUUAGAUGUUGAGCAGCCUCCAUUCUAAAUAGGGACAGCUGAAACUUUUCACAAAGCUUUUCUCUACCUUUGUCUGAGGAUUUGUGACAACCAAGUGGCUUCCACACUUCUAAAAGUGAGACUGGUAAAUUGUUGGCCAUGAGCCCAUUUGAUUAAAGAAGAGAAAAAACAGUCCUGCAAUCCUAGAUGGGUGACAAGAUGAAACUGGCUGUCCCAUACAACAGCCACGGAAACCUCGGGCUCCUGGUGUUCUGACUCCCUGGCUAUGAUUUUCCACGGUGACCAAGUGAUUUAUUUAAUCCUUUCACUACUUCUUUGUAGUCUUGGAUCUUUGAGGUGUCAGGAGGAAUCAUCAAACCAACUCCUGCAACACAUUACAA